CCUGGUUGAUUCUGCCAGUAGUCAUAUGCUUGUCUCAAAGAUUAAGCCAUGCAUGUCUAAGUAUAAGCAAUUACAAAGCGAAACUGCGAAUGGCUCAUUAUAUAAGUUAUCGUUUAUUUGAUAGUACCUUACUACAUGGAUAACCGUGGUAAUUCUAGAGCUAAUACAUGCUGAAAAUCCCGACUUCGGAAGGGAUGUAUUUAUUAGAUACAAAACCAAUGCCCUUCGGGGCUCUCUUGGUGAUUCAUGAUAACUUCUCGAAUCGCACGGCCCCGCGCCGGCGAUGGUUCAUUCAAAUUUCUUCCCUAUCAACUUUCGAUGCUACGGUAUUGUCCUAGCAUGGUUGCAACGGGUGACGGAGGGUUAGGGCUCGACCCCGGAGAAGGAGCCUGAGAAACGGCUACUACAUCCAAGGAAGGCAGCAGGCGCGCAAAUUACCCAAUCCCGACUCGGGGAGGUAGUGACGAUAAAUACCGAUACAGGGCUCUUUUGGGUCCUGUAAUUGGAAUGAGUACAAUUCAAAUCCCUUAACGAGGAACAAUUGGAGGGCAAGUCUGGUGCCAGCAGCCGCGGUAAUUCCAGCUCCAAUAGCGUAUAUUAAAGUUGUUGUGGUUAAAAAGCUCGUAGUAGAAGCUCGGCCUCCGGUCGGCCGGUCCGCCUCACCGCGUGCACUGGUUCGGCCGGGGCUUCACCUUCUGCGGAACCGCAUCUCCUUCACUGGGGGUGUCGGGGAAACAGGACGUUUACUUUGAAAAAAUUAGAGUGCUCCAGGCAGGCCUAUGCUCGAAUACAUUAGCAUGGAAUAAUGGAAUAGGACGUGUGGUCUUAUUUCGUUGGUUUCUAGGACCGCCGUAAUGAUUAAUAGGGACAGUCGGGGGCAUCAGUAUUCAAUCGUCAGAGGUGAAAUUCUUGGAUCGAUUGAAGACUAACUACUGCGAAAGCAUUUGCCAAGGAUGUUUUCAUUUAUCAGGAACGAAAGUUAGGGGAUCGAAGACGAUCAGAUACCGUCGUAGUCUUAACCAUAAACUAUGCCGACUAGGGAUCGGACGGUGUUAUUUCUUGACCCGUUCGGCACCUUACGAGAAAUCAAAGUGCUUGGGCUCCAGGGGGAGUAUGGUCGCAAGGCUGAAACUUAAAGAAAUUGACGGAAGGGCACCACCAGGGGUAAACGGACUGUUUAGCCGCAGUAAACUCUGCUCCUGAAAGCCGCCCGAAAGGGUCAGGUGGUUGCUCCUGGCAUCGUGCCGAACACAUGGCUAGUCUCCUCGGAGGCGACACCCUCAAAUUGCGGGAAACUCCUAAAGCUCACGCUCCAAAGCCGUCUGUGAAAGCAGUUCGGUGGCCAGGUUAAUUGCCUCGGGUAUUGGAACAACGCGUGAGAUGCAACAAUGGACAAUCCGCAGCCAAGCCUCUAAGUCUCUUGUGACUCUGGGUGAACGUGCUUCACCCAGUUUGCUCAAGGCGGGAGGACUCACAGAUCGAAACCGGAGUCACGACCUCUGGUCAUGACUCCGGUGGUUCGGCGUCUCGAUUCUGCUGAGUCCUGGUUCGCGUCCCAGAGCCAAACUGCCUCUG
rnacentral:rRNA from 1 species